AGGAUCUGCAAGUUAGAUCUGAGGGACUCAUGUGAGAAUCGUCGGCUGGAGAGGCUGGAUUCGGGAAAUUGGCAGUACUACGGCUCAGGCCUUCAUCGUGGGUGUGAUUUACGGUGGUUUGGGCUGUUGUUCUGUCAUCCUCAAAGGUAGGGUAGUUUCCUAGUUGGAAGCAGUCAUUUGUCAAGGGGGAUUCCGGUCUCGUCCAUUGCUCACAACUUCAGGAUGAGUGUGCCCUGGAAUGGAUUUGUUGGGUACCCAUUGGCAUCUCCAGGAAGCAAAUGCAAGUGAAUCGAUGUUUCUCCAGACUGGCUCGGCUGUUGAUUUACUUGAAUUCGGUUCUGGUAUAGUGGAGGGGCUUGGGGGUUCAUCGGGUUGCUUUUGGAAGAGGUCCCCUAGGAGAGCUGAUGGGGAUUUUUCUGUAUUCACACAGUCCCCACUUUGAGAAAUUUUAGUUACAAAGGAGGCGUCAAUAUUAAUGAGGAAUGUGCCAAGGUUUGGAGGUUGCCACUUUUGAGCUGAGGUGCCCUGUUUCUAAUAUUUCGCCUGCUUUACAUUCCAAUUCGCAAAACUGUCAUGUGAUGUUGAAGCAUUGAAUGGGGUACUAAGCGGGUUCAGGGGGUUUUGCCGAAAUAUAAAAUGGUUUUUGUCCUUCCAAAUCCACCAUAGGACCAAUCCGAGCUAGGCAAAUGUUGGGAAUAGGCAUUCCAGAUCAGAGACGUCCAUGGACACAGUAACGGGGUGUGCUCUACUGUUUCUGGUUCAAGUUUGCAAAUUGGACAAGUUGGGGCAGAUACUACUUUCCUCUUGAACAAGUUUUCCAUGGUUGGCAAUGCGUUCUAACAUGCAUUCCAUAGGAAGAAUUUAAUCUUGGGUGUAAUUACCGACUUCCAGAUAAGCUUCCACAAUUCUGGUUUUGGUUGGUAAGAUGUGGUUGGAGUGGAUGAUUGUGGAUUGACUUUAUUACUCCGGUGACUGUGGUAACCACUUCUCACUGUAUAAUUUCCCGACUUAUUACCCGUCCAAACUAGUUUAUCUUCUGUAGAGGGGAGGCCUAUAGGUAUGCUUUUGAUCUCCAUUACUAACUACUCAUCGAACAUAGUCCUCAGCAGGUUUUCAUUCCAUCGCGUUGUUUCCAUUUCUAUUAACUCAGCAACUUUGCGUGGCUCAUUUCUGGUUCUUGUGCCACCUAUAGGUCCGUUUUUAAGCCAUUUGUCUUCUCUAAUGGAGAUUCUUUUUUCCGUUUCCUACCACCCACCUAAGUUGUGGGGCAAUAACAUCUAUCCUUGUUAGUAGACUUUGUCAUCCCCAUGAAGAAUUUGAUCCUUUCCCUGUUUGCCAAAACUCGCAAUUAGGGUAGUAUAACCCCUUCAUAAUUCUGCUCCCAAGAGUUUCUGGAUGUUGGGACAUUCGCCAUGUUUGUUUACCUAACAUCGCUUUAAUUAAAUGCAUUGAGGUCUUUAAAGCCAAGUCCCCCUUCCUUCUUCAAAGCCUUUAAGGUUUUCCAUCUUUUCCAAUGUAAACCAGUUGAUUUAUUGCUAUUCCUCCACCAGAAAUUAGCUAUUUGUUUUUCUAUAGCUUUGCAAAUGGAUACUGGGAUUUUAAACACUGACAUCGCAUAUUGAGGAAUCGCCUGCACCACAGAUUUAAUAAGUAUUUCUUUUCCUACUUUUGAUAACAGGUUUUCUUUCCAACUCUCCAAUUUCAUGUUGACCUUUGCAAGAAUCCAUGCAAACAUAUCCUUCUUGGUAGCACCCCAAUCUGACGGAACUCUCAUUUAUUUACCUGUUUUAAGAAUCUCUGGAACUCUCAACUCUGCUGCCAUAUUCCUCUUUAAGCUGUUCGGACAACCUUUGCUGAAAUAGAUGCCUGAUUUGUUUAAGUUUAUGGCUUGUCCUGAAGCAUAACAAUAUUUAUGUAAGAUGGAUGCCAUAUUUUGACAUUCUAGGACCGUUCCAUUAAGGAAGAAUAUAUAAUCAUCCGCGAAUAGUAGAUGGGAGAGUGUAGGGCAAUUUCAGUUUAACUUUAUUCCCCUGAGAGACCCAGCUACUAUAGCUUCUUUCAUCUUAUAGGAGAGGACAUUAGCCACUAUAAUAAAGAGAUAGGGGGAAAGCGGAUCCCCUUGACAGAUUCCUCAGGUUGGCUUGAAAUAUGGUGUAGGAUCUCCAUUGAAUCUUAUACUGAAGGAGACCAUAGACACACUGCAUGAUCCACUGUACCCAUUUUCCACAGAAACAGAUCUUUGUAAGGCAUUCUUUAAGAAAGUCUCAUUCUAUUCGAUCAUAUGCCUUUUGCAUGUCUAAUUUUAGAACUGCUUGGAACCGCUUUCUUCCUUUCUCUAGUUCUUACUUUGUGUAGAACUUCCUGCACAAUCAGGAUGUUGUCUUGAAUUUGCAUUCCUCUACAAAGGCACUUUGUUCUGCUGUUAUUAGAUCUGGAAGCAACGGUUUGAGCCAGUUUGUGAGGAUUUUAGAAAUGAUUUUGUAUGCAAAGUUGCAAAGACUGAUUGGGCAAAAUUGUUCCAGCUUUUCAGAGUUAGGUAUUUUGGGAAUAAGGACGAUAGCGGUUUUGUUUAGGUUAAGGUUAAGUAUUCUAGUCUCAAAGAAUUGUUGAAUCUCUGUGAACAAGUCGUGGUUGAUAACCUGCCAGUGAUUUUGGAAGAAUAUCCCAUUAAUUCCAUCCGGUCCAGGGGCCUUAGAAGCCCCUAGUUGAUAAGUAGCUGCUGUAAUUUCCUGCAUGGUGACAAAUUCUGAUAGUUUUUGAUUCAUAGUAGUGUCAACCAAGAUAGGUAUGUUGUUUAGAAUAGGCUGGAAGUUUCUAGGUCCCACUGUGGUAUAAAAAUUAGUAAAAAAACUCACAUGUCAUAUUCUUGAGAGUAUUUUCAUCUCUGACCCAAGUUCCAGCUGCAUCUUUAAGCAUAGAGAUUCGGUUAUAAGUCCUCUUUUGAAUGGUUAUUGCAUGAAAAAAUUUCAUGUUCCUAUCGCCCCAUUUUAGCCAGUUCACCCUUGAUCGCAUACCCUAGUACAUUUCCUCCUGUCUCCAUAAAUGUUCUACCUCUUUUUGCAACUGUUUGAUUCUCUAGCUGUCCUCAGAUAACUCGAGCCUGUUUGCAAGUACUGAAGUUCAUUUCUCAGCAUUUCUACUCUUUUUUGUGCAUUAGGGAAACUUUUUUUGCUCCAUUAAGCUAAUUGGUUUGACAUUUGUCUGAGUUUCUCAACUAAGUCUGCUCCAGUAGAAGCUGAAUUACACCAGGCUAUUUUUACUAUUUGCUCACAUUCCUCGUCUUCAUCCCAAAAGGCCUCAUAUCGGAAUUCUUUUUUCCUGUUUUUCCUUCUUGGGAAGACUAACAAAAGCAGGGGGCUAUGGUCUGAUCCAAUAGCUGGCAUGGCUACCACUUCCGCAUUUGGAUAUUCAAUUCUCCACUCCAUUGUAGAUAACGCCCUAUUUAGCCUCUUUUUCACUAAUUCCUCCCCUUCUCUUCGAUUAUUCCAAGUGAAAACACACCCCUUUGAUUCCAAAUCCAUGAGAGAACAAGCAUGUAAGAAGUCUCGAAAUGCUGUGAGCCUGUAGUGUUCUGCCUCCUUCUUCCUUACUUUCUCCCAGGGAUAUAAAAUUUCAUUAAAAUCCGCCAUAUAUAACCAUGGUAGUGUAGUGGCAGCAUUGACUUUUUGUAUUUCUUCCCAUAAUAACACUCUAUCUUUAAAUUCAAUUGGUGCAUGCAAAAGAGUAAUAUGCAUUAACUGUUUGUUUUCCUGCAGGUGACAAAGAAGGUGAAUGAAAUGGUCUGUAACUACUUCCACCGAUAUGUCUACUUGAUU